GGUCCCGUAGUGUAGCGGUUAUCACGUCGCCCUGUCACGGCGAAGAUCGCGGGUUCGAUUCCCGUCGGGUCCG
rnacentral:tRNA from 1 species